AUGCUGUGACUGAAACCAACCCACCUGGAGCUCAAGCUCGGCAACAUUGAGGAGUUUGAGAGCAUUCGGAAGGACCUGGAGGCCCAUAAGAAGCAGAAGGAAAAUGUGGAAGCUGUAGGCACCAGCGAUGGAGAAGGAGCUGCUGGGCUCAGCAGUAACCCCAAAAGCUGGGAACAAAUGAUUAAUGAUAGAAUUGGUUAUAAACCCCAACUCAAGAGCAACAACCGCACAUCUCAGUUUGGAAACUUUGAAUUUUAG
rnacentral:lncRNA from 1 species